rnacentral:rRNA from 1 species
UACAGAGGUCUCAAGCGUUGUUCGGAUUCAUUGGGCGUAAAGGGUGUGUAGGUGGCGCGCUAAGUCGGGUGUGAAAUUUCGGAGCUUAACUCCGAAACUGCAUUCGAUACUGGCGUGCUUGAGGACUGGAGAGGAGACUGGAAUUCAUGGUGUAGCAGUGAAAAUGCGUAGAGAUCAUGAGGAAGACCAGUGGCGAAGGCGGGUCUCUGGACAGUUCCUGACACUGAGACACGAAGGCCAGGGGAGCAAAACGGG